AUGAAAGAUGUUUUCCCUCUUUGAACCUUAAACCUAAUGAAAAAUCCCUGAUUUCCCUACCUUGAGCUGAGUAGAUUAUUCAUGUUUGCUGUAGGAGAAUGGUUUAAAGUUGGGGGAGUUUGUUUUGUAAGGAUGUAUUGAGAAAAAUAAAAAAAUUGAAAAAAAAUGAGGAAAAAGAAGAAAGAAAAAGAUAAAGAAAAAGAAUUGAAUGAAAGAAAGUUGGGAUAUAAGUCAGAAAGUGGUUGUAAUUGAAGUGAAGCAAAAGAGAAACUGAUGUGCAUGAUUUGAACUAUUUGAUCUCUUAGCUCUAGGUAUUUUGUUGUCCUGAAAAACCAUGUUUCUUUCCUAGCCCGGCCACAAUACAAGCCAAUGAAAGUCCUUGUGAUGCUGACUUGCUUGUGAAUGUGUUUAAGUUCGUUGAAAUGAAUGGCAAAGUUUAGUUGUGUGACAUUGUGAUAGUAGAGUGAUAGACACACACCCUUAUACACUAGAGCAUUAGAGCGAGACAAUAUCUUUGGUGAGGAUUGGUUCUACUUAAUUCAGUAAAGCAUUCUGCCAUGAUCGUUGAUCUCUUUUAAACUGUGGCAUUUGAUUGAUUGAAUGUUUGAUGAGCAUCAC
rnacentral:lncRNA from 1 species